ACGCUCGACACCUACGGGAGGCAGCAGUGGGGAAUAUUGCACAAUGGGGAAACCCUGAUGCAGCAACGCCGCGUGAAGGAAGACGGUUUUCGGAUUGUAAACUUCUGUUCUUAGUGAAGAUAGUGACGGUAGCUAAGGAGCAAGCCACGGCUAACUACGUGCCACAGCCGCGGUAAUCUGAGCGGGCUGGCAAGGC
rnacentral:rRNA from 1 species